GACUCUUGAAAACAGAUAUCUUGGCUCUUGUCACGAUGAAGAACGUAGCAAAAUGCGAUACUUAGUGUGAAUUGCAGAAUCCAGUGAAUCAUCGAGUUUUUGAACGCAAUUUGUGCUCGAGGCCUCGGUCGAGGCCACGUCUAUCUGGGUGUCA
rnacentral:rRNA from 1 species